CCUACGGGGAGCUGCAGUGAGGAAUAUUGGUCAAUGGGCGGAAGCCUGAACCAGCCAAGUAGCGUGCGGGAUGAAGGCCCUACGGGUCGUAAACCGCUUUUGCACGGGGAUAACACCCUCCACUUGUGGAGGUCUGCAGGUACCGUGCGAAUAAGAGCCGGCUACUUCCGUGCCAGCGGCCGCGGUAAUACGGAAGGCCCGAGCGUUAUCCGGAUUCCUUGGGCUUAAAGGGAGCGUAGGCGGGCGUUCAAGUCAGCUGUAAAAUCGCGCGGCUCACCCGCGCCCCGCAGUUGAAACUGGACGCCUUGAGUGCACAACAGGCAGGCGGAAUUCGUGGUGUAGCGGUGAAAUGCAUAGAUAUCACGAGGAACCCCGAUUGCGAAGGCAGCCUGCCGGGGUGCGACUGACGCUGAGGCUCGAAGGUGUGGGUAUCAAACAGGAUUAGAUACCCCAGUAGUC
rnacentral:rRNA from 1 species